rnacentral:rRNA from 1 species
GAUGAACGCUAGCGGCAGGCCUAACACAUGCAAGUCGAGGGGCAGCAUAAAACAAGCUUGCUUGUUUGGUGGCGACCGGCGCACGGGUGCGUAACGCGUAUGCAACCUACCCUGUACUGAGGGAUAGCCCGGAGAAAUUCGGAUUAACACCUCAUAGGAUCUUAGAUCGGCAUCGAUUAGAGAUUAAAGGUUACGGUACAGGAUGGGCAUGCGUCCCAUUAGCUAGAUGGUAGGGUAACGGCUUACCAUGGCAACGAUGGGUAGGGGCCUGAGAGGGUGGUCCCCCACACUGGUACUGAGACACGGACCAGACUCCUACGGGAGGCAGCAGUGAGGAAUAUUGGUCAAUGGGCGCAAGCCUGAACCAGCCAUGCCGCGUGCAGGAAGACGGUCCUAUGGAUUGUAAACUGCUUUUGUACGGGAAGAAACCCUAUUACGUGUAGUAGAUUGACGGUACCGUACGAAU